UUUUUUGCAUGUCUUUGGGAUGCUGGUUUUUUACAUAAUUUUUUUCCGUUAUUGCAAGAAAUCACAUGCUUAUCUUUCAACCUUAUUGUCGUGGAACCAGUACAUAUUAGUUAUCAGUUUAUUACCUACUGUGUGUGCCCUGCAAAACGAAAAAUCCUGCUCAAAUUGAAAUGUCUUGCAAAAUGUAAAGGUGGGAGUCUAUAAUAAUGUUGUAUAUCAAUAUUUUUUUAUGGGAAUGAGGUCCAUUGGUUGUUUUGCACUCAAUUUGUACUUUUUCAUGUCUAAUAUAAGCCCUUAAGCUGUAGUGCAUUUUUAAAAAGAUAUUCCCCUGUGAAACGCUCAGAUGGAUUGUUCCCUAGUUUCCAGCCAGUGCCUCGAUAGUAUGUGUGACAUCAUUUUUCCUCCAGAAAAUUCUUCUUUACCCUGCUGCAUACAGAUGAACACAGCCAACUAAAUAUGUGCACGAUGUUGGAUUGCUUAGAGUGCUGAUCAUUGACCAAACUGAUCAACAGAGCUAAUAUGCUUAGAUCUGCCAUAAUAACAGCAUACUGAAGGUAAACUGUAGAUUGUAUGAGUUUUUAUGCACCAACCAGUAGAACCAAAAGUCAGAACUGAUGGAGAAGGUUGGGCAAUCCACAUAUACUCCACCAACACACCUCUCACGUGUGGAUCGAUAAGGCCUAAACAUGGACAAAAAGAGGGCAAACAUUUUCUUUUACUUAAGUUAACAAAGUCUCACGGGAAACAUAAGGACAUUCGCCGAAGAGAUCAACAGCGACCGGGGGAGCCCGGACAGUCGAGGCGACAGAGUAGUGGGAAGGCAGAGGAGACAGUGGCCAGGUGGAGGAGCUGUGAGGCGGCGCUGGUUGCGGCAGGUGUUUGCCUCAAUCUUGCGGCAACUCGUGGAUCCCUUCAAGAUAGCAGGAGAAGAAACCCUCAGCCCGGCGCAGCGGGAAUCUUGACGAUGCUGAUGAAUAAGUCAUUGUAUUCUGGUGUUUGUGGAGUUGCUGCUGCACAUGGUUCUUGUGAAGGACUGCAGCACACACAUGGUCCUUUGUGAAGGACAGGUGGUUAGGAUAGGAUAGCAUCCCUGAUCUUUGACUGCUUUUAGAGGCAUGAAGGACUGGUAGUUAGCAACUUUAGACUAGCAUCUUAGACUAGCAGCAUAUUCUGGCUGGCUAGCAGCUAUAAAUCUGUAGCCCCGUGCCCUCAGUUUGGCAUGGCAUUGUGUGAGA